GUGGGGGACAACGCGAUCAGAUGCAUCAGGUUCCUCCCACAGCGACUCUGCUGCCUUGAUGGACCCAACUCUCAAACUGAGUCGAAGGAAGACCCUUCCUCCUUAAGUUGUUCUGCAGGCUUCCUGUGUGGGCUUUGCCGUGAAGGACCAUCCUUGGACACCUUCUGUGCUUCAAGGAUCCUAGGAGGAAGAUGGGAAGCUCCAGAAU
rnacentral:lncRNA from 1 species